AGCUUUGCGCAGUGGCAGUAUCGUAGCCAAUGAGGUUUAUCCGAGGCGCGAUUAUUGCUAAUUGAAAACUCUUAUGGGUAUCAACCUUUAAGCCUUCAGUAGGCAGACUAUAUUCAUAUAACCACAGAGCUUAGGCAUAAAGUAAAGGACUAUGGGGAAGGUAGGAUCUCUUAAGGAAGG
ensembl:snRNA LOC120093497 U4 spliceosomal RNA